rnacentral:misc_RNA from 1 species
UCGAGUUUACAACUCCCAAACCCAUUGCGAACCUUACCUUUGUUGCUUCGGCGGGAUCGCCCCGGUGCCUUGUCGCCCGGAUUCAGGCGCCCGCCGGAGGCCCAAAACUCUUGUUUUCAACCUUUGGAUUUUCUGAGUAAAAAAACAAAUAAAUCA